rnacentral:rRNA from 1 species
UACGUGAGGGGCGAACGUUGUUCGGUGUCACUGGGCUUAAAGGAUGCGUAGGUGGUUGCGUAAGUAAGGUGUGAAAGCCCUCGGCUUACCCGGGGAAUUGCGCCUUAUACUGCGUGGCUUGAGGAUUUCAGGGGAAUGGGGAACUCCAGGUGUAGCGGUGAAAUGCGCAGAUAUCUGGGGGAAGGCCGGCGGCGAAGGCGCCAUUCUGGGAAAUUCCUGACACUGAGGCACGAAAGCGUGGGGAGCAAACAGG